CAGGUCGUGAGCGUCUGUCAGGAAUCCUCGGGGUGAGCGCCGAGCAGGCCAGCCGAUUCCAGGACAGCUUCCUCCAGACCUACAGAGAAGUCCAGACCUUCAUCCAGAGGACCAUCCAGCAGUGCCACAGACAAGGAUCACACUACCUCCGGGAACUCUGCUGAACGCCACACCCUGCUCAGCUCACAUCUUGCCUGGACAAACUCCCCUCCACCGUGUUCUCCAUUCUGCCCUGUUGGAACCUACCACCCAGUCUUCCGUUGCUCUUUUCAAUAAAACCCUUUGUUACCCCUUCGAA